rnacentral:rRNA from 1 species
AAAUUGAAGAGUUUGAUCAUGGCUCAGAUUGAACGCUGGCGGCAGGCCUAACACAUGCAAGUCGGACGGUAGCACAGAGGAGCUUGCUCCUUGGGUGACGAGUGGCGGACGGGUGAGUAAUGUCUGGGGAUCUGCCCGAUAGAGGGGGAUAACCACUGGAAACGGUGGCUAAUACCGCAUAACGUCGCAAGACCAAAGAGGGGGACCUUCGGGCCUCUC